ACUACAGUCACAAAGCUCCCUAUGUGGACCAUGCCUUAUUAGUGGAGGGCAAGCACUACUACCAGAAUCAAAAGUGCUCUCUUCCACUCUAAUCCUUUUAUUAGUUUUCUUUGUUGUUGCCUUCUUUGAUGAAGCAAUAAUUAAGAGUGAGCAAAAUCCGAUUUGAUUCGAAAAACUCGAUAAAAUUUUUAAAUUUUGAAUUAAAUAGUUCAAGUUAUUUGAGUUAAUUAAGUUAUUUG
rnacentral:lncRNA from 1 species